GAUGAACGCUGGCGGCGUGCCUAAUACAUGCAAGUCGAACGGCCAGACAAGGAGCUUGCUCCUCUAACGUUAGCGGCGGACGGAUGAGUAACACGUGCAUAACCUUCUUCUUAUACUGGGAUAACUUCGGAAAGCAGGUGAUACUAACAGCUCAUAUAACCUACCGCAUAGUUCAGUAGUUCAUGACGGUUUUGCCGUCACUUAUAGCUGAAUCCGCGUCGCAUUAUCUGGUUGGUAAGGUAACGGCUUACCAAGGCAACGAUGCGUAUCCGAGCUGAUAGGGUGAUCGGCCACACUGGAACUGAGACACGGUCCAGACACCUACGGGAGGCAGCAGUGGGGAAUCUUCCGCAAUGGGCGAAAGCCUGACGGAGCAACGCCGCGUGAGUGAUGAAGGUCUUCGGAUCGUAAAGCCCUGUUAUUAGGGAAGAAAAGCUGUGUGUGAAUCUAUCGAUGUUCUGACGGUACCUAAUCAGAAAGCACCGGCUAACUUCGUG
rnacentral:rRNA from 1 species